rnacentral:rRNA from 1 species
GACGAACGCUGGCGGCGUGCUUAACACAUGCAAGUCGAACGGUAAGGCCCUUCGGGGUACACGAGUGGCGAACGGGUGAGUAACACGUGGGUGAUCUGCCCUGCACUUCGGGAUAAGCCUGGGAAACUGGGUCUAAUACCGGAUAGGACCCUGGGAUGCAUGUCCUGGGGUGGAAAGCUUUUGCGGUGUGGGAUGGGCCCGCGGCCUAUCAGCUUGUUGGUGGGGUGAUGGCCUACCAAGGCGACGACGGGUAGCCGGCCUGAGAGGGUGACCGGCCACACUGGGACUGAGAUACGGCACAGACUCCUACGGGAGGCAGCAGUGGGGAAUAUUGCACACUGGGCGCAAGCCUGAUGCAGCGACGCCGCGUGAGGGAUGACGGCCUUCGGGUUGUAAACCUCUUUCAGCACCGACGAAGCGCAAGUGACGGUAGGUGCAGAAGAAGGACCGGCCAACUACGUGCCAGCAGCCGCGGUAA